AACGAACGCUGGCGGCAGGCCUAACACAUGCAAGUCGAGCGCCCUUUCGGGGGAGCGGCGGCAGGGUGAGUAACGCGUGGGAAUAUGCCCUUCUCUACGGAAUAGCCUCGGGAAACUGAGAGUAAUACCGUAUACGCCCUGUGGGGGAAAGAUUUAUCGGGGAAGGAUUAGCCCGCGUUUGAUUAGGUAGUUGGUGGGGUAAUGGCCGACCAAGCCGACGAUCCAUAGCUGGUUUGAGAGGAUGCUCAGCCACACUGGUACUGAGACACGCCCCAGACUCCUACGGGAGGCAGCAGUAGGGAAUCUUAGACAAUGGGGGCAACCAUGAUCUAGCCAUGCCGCGUGAGUGAUGAAGGCCUUAGGGUUGUAAAGCUCUUUCAGCUGGGAAGAUAAUGACGGUACCAUCAGAAGAAGCCCCGGCUAACUCCGUG
rnacentral:rRNA from 1 species